rnacentral:ncRNA from 1 species
UUGUUCAAGCUGGAGGUGCCGCUCUAGGAAAAUCCGGAGCAAUAAGGUAUCGAAAGUGAGUACGUUGGCUUUUGGCCUAGAAGUAAUCUGAGUGUCUUCCAAGAAAAGUCUCGUUAGCGAGUUAACGUGGCAACCGUACUAAAACUGACACAGGUAGGCAAGGAGAGAAUCCUAAGGCGCUCGAGAGAACCCUCGUUAAGGAAUUCGGCAUACAUACUCCGUAACUUCGGGAGAAGGAGUGCCUCUUCUAUGGAAGUUUUAAACUGAAAUGGAAAAGGUCGCAGUGAAGAAGGUCCGGGCGACUGUUUACUAAAAACACAGGUCUCUGCUAAAAUGUAUAAUUGAUGUAUAGAGACUGACGCGUGCCCGAUGCCAGAAAGUUAAGGGGAUAGGUUAUUUCCUGAGCAAUCAGGAGAGAAGCUUGGAACUGAAGCUCUGGUGAAUGGCGGCUCUAACUAUGAGAGUCCUAAGGUAGCGAAGUUCCUUGUCGGGUAAUUUCCGACGCGCAUGAAUCGCGUAACGACCUGGACACUGUCUCAACGAGGGACUCGGCGAAAUUGUAGUUGUGGUGAAGAUGCCACAUACCCGCGGAAAGACGGAAAGACCCCAUGAACCUUUACUGUAGCUUGUUAUUGGAUUUUGGCGCAGUAUGUGUAGGAUAGGUGGGAGACGAGGAAGUUUCGACGUAAGUUGGAAUGGAGUCAAUGGUGAAAUACCACCCUUACUUUGUUAAAAUUCUAAUGGAAUACCGUGAAUCCGGGUUCUUGACAGUGGUAAGUGGGCAGUUUGACUGGGGCGGUCUCCUCCAAAAAAGUAACGGAGGAGCCCAAAGGCUUCCUCAAUGCGCUUGGCAACCGCAUUUAGAGUGUAAAGGCAUAAGGGAGCUUAACUGCGAGACCCAUAAGUCGAGCAGGUGUGAAAGCAGGGCUUAGUGAUCCGGCGGUUUCUGUGUGGAAAGGCCGUCGCUCAACAGAUAAAAGGUACUCUGGGGAUAACAGGCUGAUCUCCUCCGAGCGUCCAUAGCGGCGAGGAGGUUUGGCACCUCGAUGUCGGCUCAUCGCAUCCUGGGGCUGAAGAAGGUCCCAAGGGUUUGGGAGUUCACCAAUUAAAGCGGUACGCGAGCUGGGUUUAGACCGUCGUGAGACAGGUCGGUCCCUAUCUUCCGUGGGCGUACGAUAUUUGAGAAAAUCUGCCUCUAGUACGAGAGGAUCGAGGUGGACGAACCUAUGGUGAAUCAGUUGUUGUGCUAACAGCAUGGCUGAGUAGCUAAGUUCGGAAGGGAUAAACGCUGAAAGCAUAUAAGCGUGAAGCCUGCUUUAAGAUUAGAUAUCGUUCUCUAAGCAAUUAGAGUGAAGACAUCUUAAAGACUAUGAGAUUGAUAGGCCAGGUGUGUAAGUCCGGUAACGGAUUCAGCUAACUGGUACUAAUAUGUCGAAAAGCUUGAUCAC